GCGUUGGUUUAGCUCAGUGGUUACUUCCUCAAGCAAAAACUAGCUCACGGCUGACGGUUACCGACGGCCAGAGAUCGAACCACGGGCUCUGUCCAGCGUUUUG
rnacentral:vault_RNA from 1 species